AUGGUACUAGUGACAACAGCUUUGCAAGUUUGGAGGAGUCAACCUGAUUUACUACUGUCAUCUCCCUGCUCCUCUUCCUGGCUACAACAUCCAGGUAAUGGCUCUCCCCACUCAGCUCAAUCCCUGGGGCUUCUGCUAUUCACCAUCCUUGAAGGGAGUGAACCCACCCACCACCAAAUGCCUCAGAAGAGCUGCAUCAACAGCUGCUUCCCAAGAGGCAGGGAGUGAGUGCUCAGAGAAAACUCUGCGUAGGGGUGAGGACGACGCCAAAGGUCCUGGUCCAAAACCCAGCCUUGAGGAUGCUGCCUGUCUCAGAUCCUGAGCUCCAUAGGAGAAAUGGGGCCAUGCCCAGCACUGGGGCAGAUGUAAAGAGCAGUUUAAAGACUAUGGAAAAAAGGAGGACAUAAAGGACACGGGAAAGGGAGAAAGACGAGGAGGAGGAGGAAGAACAACAGUG
rnacentral:lncRNA from 1 species